GAUGAACGCUAGCUACAGGCUUAACACAUGCAAGUCGAGGGGCAGCAGGGAUUUAGCUUGCUAAAUCCGCUGGCGACCGGCGCACGGGUGCGUAACGCGUAUCCAACUUUCCCGUUACUCAGGGAUAGCCUUCCGAAAGGGAGAUUAAUACCUGAUGGUGUUUGAAAUUCGCAUGUUCUUCAAACUAAAGAUUUAUCGGUAACGGAUAGGGAUGCGUGACAUUAGAUAGUAGGCGGGGUAACGGCCCACCUAGUCUACGAUGUCUAGGGGUUCUGAGAGGAAGGUCCCCCACACUGGAACUGAGACACGGUCCAAACUCCUACGGGAGGCAGCAGUGAGGAAUAUUGGUCAAUGGACGAGAGUCUGAACCAGCCAAGUAGCGUGAAGGAUGACUGCCCUAUGGGUUGUAAACUUCUUUUAUACGGGAACAAACUCCGGUACGUGUACCGGUCUGCGUGUACCGUAUGAAUAAGCAUCGGCUAACUCCGUGCCAGCAGCCGCGGU
rnacentral:rRNA from 1 species